rnacentral:lncRNA from 1 species
UGUGGCCAAUGUGUAGAGAAGUCAAUUAGGAGCUGUGGCUUUGAUGCAGACAGAAUUUUCUACCUUAAAUUCAGACAGUGAUUAUUGCUUAAGACACCAUCUCUUUGAAGAGUAUAUUGUGUAAUAAUACAAUAAUGUUCCAUUUCAGGAAACAUCUGUGUGAGACACAUCUGCCUCCUGAUCUCUGGCAAACACUGUGACAAGGGGAAUCAUCUCGGCAUCCAGCAAGUGCCACCUCAUUUGUCACCAUGGUGCCUGUGCUUCCCCCACAGUUCCUCUGUCUCACUUUCUCGGACCCUCAGCUCUGUAUUAGUUCAUAAAAAAAGGGGAUUUGUCUUCACUGUUCCUGAAAUUUUAUUUUUGAGGUUUAUUUUUGAGAUUGGGCUAUCUGUUCUAUGUAGAAGGAAGGACUUAAGGAAAAAUUGAGCAAUGUAUGACUUUAUAGAAUACUUUAUUUAGCUUUUUCAGUUUGUAUGACCGGUGAUUCCUGCUCUUUCUGUCUCUCAUGAUUUACCUUCAUUAAAUGCUCUGAUCCAUGCUUAAAAAACUUCCAUACAGGCCUCCUUCCUUUCUAAACAUCACAUCUCUCUGCACUAAAUGAAGGCAGAAAAGAAAAGCUUCCCAAGGUACAGUGAGCAGAAAGUGUGCAAGUGCAAACCCAGACAGAGGAAAGGAUUAAUUCAAGCCUGAAAGGUCUCUGUAAGCUGGGAAGGUGUGCUAGGAAGGUGUUUAGCACAGAUAAGGACAGGAGACCCAGGGAGACAAAGACUGAAGUUAGGGGGUUUGGGAGGAUUCGUGAAAAGGACACCAGGAAAAAUAGUAAAUAGGGAUUUGACUGAACAAUGCAGUAUCUGUUAGAGAGGUGUUACAGGGGAGCCCUGGCGCUGAGAUCAGGGAGCAGAGGAGCUGGGGAGGAAGGGAGGCAGUCACAGCAGUGCCUGCAGAGAGUGGCAGGUGCUGAGACCAUGAGAAAAGCUGGGCUGUGAGUCCAGGUCCCUGAUCUACCAGCAAACAGUGGAACGACGAUUAAUUACAUCACAACUUGAAAAGUGGUGUUGUUUUCCACCCCUUCAAAUAGAGUCCACUAUUUACACUUGAAUCCACUGAUGGGCAGGAUUUUUUCAAAGACAGAAAUGAAAAACUGAUUUUAAAAAUCCAAAUUCUGUCUCACAAACAUUUCCAAAAAAUAGAAGACUUUGAAAAAGUAGUCUGAUGAGCUAAAAAUCUUGCUGUUUAUACUCAGAUUGAAGAAAGGCUGUCUGGAAGUUUCAUUCUCAUGCUAUUUUUGCAUUUUAUUUGGAAGCCCUUAGGGUCUCAAGCAGAAGCUGUAUGUAAGAGAAAAUGAAAAAUUUAUCUGAAUACAU